rnacentral:lncRNA from 1 species
UUUUCACCCUCCAUUUUUCCAGGUGGUUCGGUCAAGGAGUUGGUAUUGGGCACUACGGGAGGACGUUCUAGUUAGCCUGCAGUAGCGACCGUCACCCGGGUUACUUUUAUUUCCGCUUCUAGUAAUUUGAAUAAUUAAAUGGUUCAGUUAGAUGAUCACUAUGAAUGUUUGGAUAUUUGUGAAUUGGUUUGAGUUGAUGAUUUACUAUGAUGCUUGCAAUUGGAGUUUUUGGAUCUUCGGUUUUGGAAUUAUGUAUUUAUAUUUUGUAGUUUUCUACCCCUCAAGGUAGUCGGUUUUCAAAACGGAGUUUCUGAGUGGAAAACAGUUUUAAAAAAAUUUUUGAAUGGUUUUUUGGAUGAUUAUAUAGAUUUUAAAAAAUAAAACUUCCAGGUGGGGAACACUUUUAAAUAGGAUGCUUGUUGUAUUGUGUAUUGCAUCAUCCAGUGCCUAAGGAGUGUUUAGAGGCAUGUAUCAUUUCUAAGGAUCGCUAGCUGUAUGUAAAUGCAUCGCAUAUAUUGGUUGUUGAUUGGUGAAUGUAAGUUGUGGUUGAAAUCCUGAUGCUAUUGUUGGUAUACCGUGCAAAUACAAAGGAGAUUCUGUCCGAGUGGAUAGAGAAACUUUGUAUUUGUGGCGGGUCUGUACGU